UGAACCUGCUACUUUCGGUCCACGCA
rnacentral:piRNA from 1 species